rnacentral:rRNA from 1 species
GAUGAACGCUGGCGGCGUGCCUAAUACAUGCAAGUCGAGCGAAUGGAUUAAGAGCUUGCUCUUAUGAAGUUAGCGGCGGACGGGUGAGUAACACGUGGGUAACCUGCCCAUAAGACUGGGAUAACUCCGGGAAACCGGGGCUAAUACCGGAUAACAUUUUGAACCGCAUGGUUCGAAAUUGAAAGGCGGCUUCGGCUGUCACUUAUGGAUGGACCCGCGUCGCAUUAGCUAGUUGGUGAGGUAACGGCUCUCCAAGGCAACGAUGCGUAGCCGACCUGGGAGGGUGAUCGGCCACACUGGGACUGAGACACGGCCCAGACUCCUACGGGAGGCAGCAGUAGGGAAUCUUCCGCAAUGGACGAAAGUCUGACGGAGCGACGCCGCGUGAGUGAUGAAGGCUUUCGGGUCGUAAAACUCUGUUGUUAGGGAAGAGCAAGUGCUAGUUGAAUAAGCUGGCACCUUGACGGUACCUAACCAGAAAGCCACGGCUAACUACGUGCCAGCCGCCGCGGUAA